GAAACCAACAAUACAUAAUAAUUUUUUAUUGUAAAAAAUAAAGAAUACCUUUUUAUCAUGUAUUUCCAAAUUGAACUUCACUAACAAAAAAUUUUGGUCAUUGUCUUCUUAGAGUUUUUCCAUAUACAGCUGGACUUAUUGCUUUCUCAAAGUUGAACUUCAUUAAUUCUGCUGUAAUAUAGGCAGUAUAAUUGAUGAAAAAUCAUUAGAGCAUGGUACUGGAUAUGCAUUAUUCAUAAAUGCAGACAAAAGUGUGGAAUUAGCAAUCCAUAGGAGGAGCAACAUUUUCAUCACCUAAUUCUGCUGAAGCUACAUAGCAGAAUUUGUAGUCUCUGAACACACAAGAUGAUUUAGUCAGAGCAUCUGAUAUGUAAAUAACAAAAGCUGGUAUAUAUGAAAAUGUAGAAGCGAGAUUGUCCUUGGAAAAUUUAGUAGAUAAUUACUAGUCAACUUCAGCAGCCGAAUCACCCAUUGACCCAAGCGAGCAGGAGAAGCACAUUGUAUCCUCGUUGAUCCACAACAAUGGGGAAACAAGCUGUUGGGGAGUGUUGCCGGAGGAAUUUCAGAUGCGUGGAAAAGCACCUAGCAGAAAAAGAAAAAAAGAUGAACACAUGCUCCAGUAUAAUCUGAGGCGCCAGCCUCUUAAUCAAAACAAUUAGUAUUACUCCCAUCUAUUAACAAUGGCCUGAGAUGCUCAUAUAUAGGCUAGUGCAAGAUAGUAGUACUAGGAAUCCAACGUGGUUGGAACAAACAAGAUGAACAAGUGAUUUAACAGAGAGAAACUAUAGCCACCGACCUGAACAGGAAUAUCGCUAUGUAUAGGAGACCGGCUACCAGCAGAACAGCAGCAAGCGACACAUGCAGCAACAGAUGAUUUUUGGGAAAGGACCUAUAUUUUUACAUCAGCAACACACCCAUAUGCAACCAUAUAGCCGCAGUAGUACUCUACGUAUAGCCGUCGUAGAACUUCACGGCCGCUCAUUAAACUACUGUUCAUCAUUUCCUUGUUCAACUAGGUGGUUUUUCCUUCGACUAUUCAUUGCUUUAUGUCAUUAUAGAACAUAGAUGAUAGUGAUACCCUCGUUAAGCUAUUUGUACAAAGCAUAUGUAAGCCCAUCUUUCGUAAGUUAGCAAGUAUAGGUUAAUGCAAUAACUCGACAGACAUGUACAGAAAGCAAACUGAUGCAGAUUUGUAAUUCUUCUCUCCAGCAAUGCACUUGUAUCAACUGAAAAUACAUUUUUUUAAGUUAGCAGGAGGGCUGCUAAGAUACCAUUUUAGAAGAUGUUCACCUCAAUCAUAGAGCAGAGUACCGACAAUUGAUGAGUAGUAAUGUGCCUCCAACUCCUUAAGGCUUGCUGCUACCUCCUGCGGUCCUGCCCCAAUCCUCCCAGCAUUUUAUCUGUCCCCUCUGCCUGCUGAGCACCUCAAUGUUUAAGCAUAAACACAAACAGUGGAGAAAGAGUUGUACGCGAGCGCUACGAUCGAGUUGCACCUUAGCUAGGAGUCGGGCAACGGCGAGCUGCACCUCAGCUACGGCCACACCCAUGGCACGGGCGUGAUUUUGGGCGGAGCCGUAGAAGGCACAUUUAUUCCCUGCAGUUAAACAUGUGGUCAGAUGAAUGCGAUGAAGGCCACCACUGGUACCCCAUGAGGGUCAGGUAGGCGCGCAUGGUGACCAGUCAUUGGACGGACAUGGGCGACGAAGGUGAACGGCUUGCGCACUGCAACGUCAAAAGGACGAAGUGGCGCGGUGGCAAUGUCCUUCCCUGGCAGCAGCCGAGAGUAGGCGGGAACUUCUACCGGAUCUGGCGGGGUCCGGGGCAGCCGGAUCCAGGACGUGAUGGCGGGAUCAAGGAGCACACCGAAGGGAGGGCGCCGCCGGGAUCCGUGGAGCCUUGCGGCGGCCGCAGCGUGAACCGGCUAGGCAGGGAAUCUGGGGUGGGCGCGGGUGGCGGCGGGAGGUUUGGGGAGGCCGCGUCGGGCCGGGGAGGGGGUUGGUCAGCGGCGGGUGGCGUGCUGGGGCCGGCGACAGGAGGUGCACCGGAGGAUGGAUGGGGCAGAGGUGGUGCGGGAGGUGGGGUGGUUGGGAAGGUCGUGACGUGGGGAUUGGGCCGGUCGGAGGAGUUUGAUGGACUGGCCAGGUUUUUG
rnacentral:lncRNA from 1 species